rnacentral:tRNA from 1 species
AAAAACUUAGGAUAAUAUUAAACCAAGAGCCUUCAAAGCUCAAAACAAGGGCGAAACCCCCUUAGUUUUUG